AGAAUCAACGCUGGCGGCGUGCCUAACACAUGCAAGUCGAACGAGAAAGGGACUUCGGUCCUGAGUAAAGUGGCGCACGGGUGAGUAACACGUGACUAACCUACCCUUGAGUGGGGAAUAACUUCGAGAAAUCGAGGCUAAUACCGCAUAAUACCUACGGGUCAAAGGAGCAAUUCGCUUAAGGAGGGGGUCGCGGCAGAUUAGCUAGUUGGCGGGGUAAUGGCCCACCAAGGCAGUGAUCUGUAUCCGGCCUGAGAGGGCGCACGGACACACUGGAACUGAAACACGGUCCAGACUCCUACGGGAGGCAGCAGUGGGGAAUUUUGCGCAAGUGGGGGAAACCCUGACGCAGCAACGCCGCGUGGAGGAUGAAGUCUCUUGGGACGUAAACUCCUUUCGACCGGGACGAUAAUGACGGUACCGGAAGAAGAAGCCCCGGCUAACUUCGUGCCAGCAGCCGC
rnacentral:rRNA from 1 species